rnacentral:rRNA from 1 species
UGGGGAAUAUUGCACAAUGGGCGCAAGCCUGAUGCAGCCAUGCCGCGUGUAUGAAGAAGGCCUUCGGGUUGUAAAGUACUUUCAGCGGGGAGGAAGGCGAUAAGGUUAAUAACCUUUUCGAUUGACGGUACCCGCAGAAGAAGCACCGGCGAACUCCGUGCCAGCAGCCGCGGUAAUACGGAGGGUGCAAGCGUUAAUCGGAAUUACUGGGCGUAAAGCGCACGCAGGCGGUCUGUCAAGUCGGAUGUGAAAUCCCCGGGCUCACCCUGGGAACUGCAUUCGAAACUGGCAGGCUAGAGUCUUGUAGAGGGGGGUAGAAUUCCAGGUGUAGCGGUGAAAUGCGUAGAGAUCUGGAGGAAUACCGGUGGCGAAGGCGGCCCCCUGGACAAAGACUGACGCUCAGGUGCGAAAGCGUGGGGAGCAAACA